rnacentral:lncRNA from 1 species
AUCCAUGAAACACCCCCUCUGCCAUCUCCGUCCCUGAAACACCCCCUCUGCCAUCUCCAUCCCUGAAACACCCCCUCUGCCUUCUCCAUCCCUGAAACACCCCCUCUGCCAUCUCCAUCCAGGAAACACCCCCUCUGCCAUCUCCAUCCCUGAAACACCCCCUCUGCCAUCUCCAUCCAGGAAACACACCCUGCUUCAUUUUAUCAAGAGGUUGACAUGUUCAAGAGGGUAUGUUAUUCUAUUUUACUGAUAGAGCAAGCAUAUACAUUAAUCUUAUAAACCCUGCUGUAAAUUAUUAUAAUAUAUUAAGUUUUUAUAUCUAUAUUUUUUAUUAAAAUAUUUUAAAAGACAAAACUAUUGCUUCCAAGGCAAUCCCUUUUUAAAAAUUGUAUUCUCAAUUAUUUAUAUAUGUUAAAUAGAGGAACUCUUACUAACUAUAUAAAAUUAUAGCUAAGAUAUUCGGUAAGCCCUGCUAGAUUCUAUGCUUGAAGACCUUAUAGAGUUAAAUAAGGGAACUAGAUGCAGUUACACUAUGCUUUGAUUCAUGACAUACAAGGGAUCCAGCCCGGACUGGCUAUCAGGCAAAUGCCCAGUGGGCUGUGAUGGGCCAAGGCCAGCAUAAGAGAUCAAAUCGCCGGCCCUACUGUGUGCCAUGAAGGGUCAGUGCGGGCCAAAAGGCACUGAAAAUCCAGGGCAGGAGAAAGGAGGACUUGGGGGCUCUAACCUGCUACUUCGCCGGGUUCCUCUCACAAACCUGGUGCAUUGCUGCGUUUACCAUAGCCAGGGCCGUCUUUAACCCCUUAAGGACACAUGACAUGUGUGACAUGUCAUGAUUCCCUUUUAUUCCAGAAGUUUGGUCCUUAAAGGUUAAAGGGGGGCAAAAAGGGCAGCUGCCCUGGGGGCCCAAAGUAGUUGCCCUGUGGGACCCCUGCCGGCAUCCAAACCCUGUGGACUGCAGCACCUGAUGUUGCCUGCUGGGAGGAAGUGAGGUGAUAUAACAAGUAACAGAAUGCCGAUGGGGAGGCGGAGGAAGCAUACACAGGAGGAGGAAAGGGACUGAGGAAGUCAGACUCCCAUCAGCCUUGGCCAUCCAGCUCACACUGGACCCCAGGGAAGCCAACCUUUUGUACCCAAAAAGGAAGGAGAAAAGAGGGUGGCUAAAAUAUGAUGUAAAUUGAUAUAUGUGUGUGUACCUGGGUCUGAGUCAUUGCUUCUAGCUAUAUGUGUCUCAAUGUGUGUAUUUGGCUGUGUGUAUGUCAGUGUGUGUAUCUGGCUGUGUGUAUGUACAUCUAUGUGUAUGUGUAUCUGUAUGAAUGCAUACCUGUGUAUGUGUACUUGUGUGACAAAGUGUGUGUAUUUCUGAGCAUAUGUGUGUGUGUGUGUGUCAGUAUGUGUAAGUGUGUAUCUAUGUGUGUGGCAAUGCAUUCAUCCCAGCAUUCUAAUGCCAACACUGCACACACAUACGCUAACCCUGCACACAAAUACACCCCAGUGUUUCAACAACAUUGCACACAAAUACACCACUGCAUAUGUGUCUGUGUUCCUGUGUGUAUCUCAGUGUUUGUGUAAGUGUGCAUCUGUGUGUUUGUGGCAAUGCAUACAUCCCAGCAUUCCAACGCCAACACUGCACACAAAUACACCCCUGCAUGUAAACCUGUGUGUACAUAUCUGUGACAGUGUGUAUCUCUGUGUGUGGAUGUGCCAGUGUGUGUAUUUGUGUGUGUUUUUCAACCGUGUCUCUGUGUCAAAGUGUCUAUCUGAGUGUGUGCAUGUGCUAGUGUGUGUGUAUAUGCCAGUGUGUUUGUGUUAGUGUGUAUCUGUGUGUUAAGAUGUGUGCAUGUGAAGCCCGACACUUAGACUACUGUGGCUGAACUAUAGCGGCCCGCUUUAACUUUUCCUACCCACGUUAGCCUACUCUCACAUAACUUAACAGUCAUACGAGUUUAACGAUACAUGUCAGUCAGUUCCAUUGUGCACCUAUAUAUUAGCCGUAUCAUCCAGCAUACACCAUAUCAUAACCAGCAGGCCCACCAUAAUAUGUAUUUCUGGGGCACAACACAGCUAAUGUAUUUUUAAUUUUACUUUUGCUUUAUUCGCAACUCACGAGCCCACUGAGUCCGCCAUGACCACUCACAUACGCCAUAUGUAUCAAAAAAGCCUGCUACUACACAUAACCAUGGCACGUAGGAACGUCAGGCAUGCCACUGUCUCUGCAUUUAAAUGCAUAUGUUCAACUCUCACAUACAUGUUAUAAUUAACGCACACAGCUGAUACCUUGCUAUUAGAACAUAAUCUUUUCACACUACAUGCCGUUUAUGCUUCCGAAUACUAGUUUAACUUUAAACCUAAGACAUACAGGCUUAGCACAAAGAAUAUGGCAAAUUCAUAAUUGUAUUUUUACUACUGUCUAGACUGUGUCUUUUACAGUGUGAGCUGCCUAUAUUAUGUUUUUAUCAACAUUUGAGAUGCAGCCUAUACUAUGCAAUCUGACGUUUGUGUUAGCAUUAACUCAGAAGCUACCUACUGCAUGAUUAAGUUUUCUUAUGUUAACCAACAUGUUUCUUCACAAUGUUUUCUCACAAAAAAAAAAAAAUGUGCUGUCACUCGAAAUGCCAUACUGGUACUCACCAAUAAUUGUUAUAACUGAGCUUGUGGACGCUACUGUGGCCAGACAAGCAUGUACAGUAAAUCUGAGCACAACAAAAUAAAGAAUUAAAAAAAAAUAAUAAAAUACAUAUAUUUUAAGCCUAAUUGUGAAUGUUCGUAUUGUAAAAUACUAAAGAUAAGAUGGAUGGUUAGUACUGUUUGGAUAUUUGCUCUUUAUUCUAGAUACUGCAGCAGAGUAUAAUGUAAUCCCAUCGAAAAAAGAAACCAUAACAGUAGCCUGGUAACAGUAGCACCAAUUAGCAUACAGUAUAAUCCAUAUAGGUGUAGUGUUCCUUGACUCCUCCUCUUUCUUGCUGCUCCCUCAGACAAGUUAAGUACCUCAUCUUGCUACUCCUGUGAUAUUUUAUACAUUUAUUUGUAUUUAAUUCCUACACAUUAAUUGGAUGUUCAUUAGAUUGGGCAUUAUUAUUUUAUUGUCAUAGUAUUGUUAUGUUAUUCCUGUCUUCUGUAGUGUAUACCCUUCUGGUGUCAGAGAGUGCUUCCUAUCUGCUAUCAGGGGAGUGAUCCCUCCCUGCCCUCACCUAAUUGUUUUCCCUGUUGGGUAACUGGGGCUAUUCUUCUGGCUUCUGGUGCUUGCCUUUGCACCUCCGGUUUAUGCCCGCGGUCUUCCCGCGUUUUUUCAGGCGGCCGCGCAUGCGCGUCCAUUGAAUUUCAUUUCCCCCUUGCGGUCCGGUCGUGCAUGCGCAGUUGGUAGCGCGGCGGCCAUCUUUUUGGUUUAUGUCGCCGGGAGUGUAACUUACACUCGCGGCGGCCAUUUUAAACGCGGUUUCGGCGGGAAUCUGCUGUGUACAAGCUUACACUCAUACCGGCUUCUCCUACCCGCCCAAGCACUCUCCUAAGACCCAGACUGGGAUAUUAUUGCAGGUUCUUUUUCUUGUACUGAUUUCUACCAAACUGUAAGUGUGGUGUGGAGGAUUAAUCUAUCCUGACACCCUUUUUUCUGUUUUCUCUCAAGCUAGUUUUCCUUUACAGGCUACAACACUCUGCUCUUAGUAGUGCUAGGUACCAAGUGUAUAAUUGAUUUUACUGGGCCCAAUAUUUUCCACUAGUUGAACUAGGGUUUAUAUAUUCCCUAUAAAGAUUUUAUCUGCUAUGCAGGAUCAGAGUGACAGACCUUCAGGGUCUAUGUGCCCCACACCAGGCGUUUCCCCCCCUAAUAAGGGAGGUAAAAGUGACGCCAGCCUCAUGACAUCGGAGGAGUUUCAAUCCUUCCUGGACGCUACCAUGGCACAAUCCAUUAACAGAGCUUUAAUCUCUGCGAUGGGGGUCAUGUCGUCCUCUAUCACUCAGUCUUUUACAGAGGCACUGAUACAGACACAGACUAGUGGCAUGCAGAACACACGCAACCCGGUACCCACUAAAAUGGCACAACCGGGACGUAAGGCGUUGGCAAAGAGCAGACAUGUGACCUCCCCUUCAGAACUGCAGGUUCAGCCUGCAUCGAAUGGCACGCCUCAGGCUGUCAAAGAUGGCGCGAUACCACCGCGCACUAGAGCCCCUGGCCGGGCAAAAUCGACCAGAACUUGGAAACGGGCACGUGCCCAUGGGGAUUCGUCCGAUUCGGACUGGAGUGUGGAGGAGGAGUAUGAGGACUCCUAUAUGGACCACUACAGUGCGGAAUUUUCAGAUUCCGGGUCUGACACCCAACCAGGCGUUGCUACCCAAAAGAAUACGGCUCAGGGCGCUGCGCCUCCUGACUCUGGCGAGGGCGACCAUUUGCGGGACCCACUGGGUAACCCAUUAUUUGACCCAGAUGACCUUCGUCAUCCUCGCUCGGCAGCAUGGGAGCCGCCUACUUACAUCGCUAAGUAUCUCGCACUUCGGGUGCGCAAGCCUUUAUCUAAGGAAGGGCGCAAUAAGUUACGGGCAGAAUGCCCACUACCCAUCCUUCCAGACUCGGUGGAAAAAACACCGGACGUGGACCCUCAGUUGGUCUAAUUCUUGAACAAGUCUGGUUGGAAACCAAGGAAGGGAUUAGAUUUUUCCCUCCGAAAUUGCCAAGACAAAUUUCUUGAUACAUUGGGACCCAUAACUAAACUAUAUGAGCUAGUGGAGUCCGCCCAAUCGGGCGAAAGCGAAUUUAAUUUCGAAGUAGCGAUAGGCUGGUUGCAGAGAUUAGUCUGCAUGGUAGGUAACGCCAAUACGGCUAUGGCUACCGAACGCCGCAAGGCGAUUCUCCUAAAAAUAGAGCCCAGCAUGGCGACCAACGAGCCGGGCCCAGCGGCUAAAGGCUUACUAUUUGGUGAAUCCUUUAUUAAGGAUCUUGGGCUGUACGUUAAGACGUUUACAGCAAUUGAUAAAGUUCAGACAUCCUCUUAAGAGAGUAUUUGCACCACAGGUUUUUGGAGGGGCCGGCAGAGGAAGGAGCCGUCUACCCGGCCGUGGAUUUCGAGGCUCAACUAGAGCCAGCAGAGGCUCCUUUCAUAGCCAGAGACCAGUACCAGAGAGACACUAUACCCCUUUCUUCCCAUCUCGGGGACGGCCCUGGAAUUCCCGUGGACCACGGGGGUCUGUUUCAAGCAGACGACCUUAUGGUGAGUACCGAAUAUCUCCGUUUUUCCCAUGUAAAAGUGGGGGGCAGACUGGCUUUGUUUCAUCAUGCUUGGAAAAUUUUAACCGCAGAUGUUUGGGUAUUAAAUACGAUACAAGGGUACCUAUUGGAGUUAACCUCCCACCCGGUUCAGACACAGUUCCCUCGGGAACUAAAUAUGGCCAGCCAACACCAGAUGAUGAUCUCAACAGAGAUCACAGAGUUAGCGUCAAAAAAACGCUAUCCAACAAAUCCCAUGGGACAGAGAAGGAUUCGUGAGCAACUUGUUUCUGGUCCCCAAGAAAGGGGGCGGGGUACGCCCAGUAAUAAAUCUCCGGCCCCUAAAUGCGUUUGUCCAAUACCACCAUUUCAAAAUGGAGGGUAUUCAUUGCCUUUGGGACCUCCUCAUACCAUCGGAUUGGAUGGUCAAAAUAGAUUUACGGGAUGCUUACCUGACAAUCCCGAUCGCAGAAGCGCUACGAAACCUACUACAGUUUCAGUGGCAGGGAACGAAAUGGAGGUUUGUAUGUCUGCCAUUUGGCCUAUCCUCCGCUCCAUGGUGCUUCACAAAAGUGCUAAAACCGGUGAUUGCCUUACUGCGCACACGAGGGGUCAGAUUAAUAAUUUAUCUAGACGACAUCCUUCUUCUGUCCCAAUCUCAAUCCCAACUUCGCAUUCACCUAUCCUGGACGACCCACCUUAUCCAAAACUUAGGAUUCUUGGUGAAUUGGGAGAAAUCAAUACUGAAACCCUCCAGACAGAUGGAAUUUCUGGGUUUCCAAGUCGACUCUGUUCAACAGAGGUUGUGUCUACCCAAAGACAAAAUGAUUUAGAUCAAGAAAGAGAUCAGACGGCUUAUGCAUCGUACGACUAUUUCCCUCCGACAACUUGCGAGGAUCAUAGGGCUGUUGGCAUCGUCCAUACAGGCGAUCUUCCCAGGACCGCUACACUAUCGUGCCCUACAAAGACUCAAAGCCUCAUAUCUACGCUCCGGUCACUCAUACGAAACCUGCGUUACACUGGACAAAGACUCCAGGGAGGAACUAGACUGGUGGUUAGCACACAUGGAGGCAUGGAACGGGCGAGCGAUAUUUGGAUCGACGCCGGACCUGGUAAUAGAGUCAGACGCCAGCUUACACGGCUGGGGCGCGCAUUGCGGGUCAGUUUCCACCGGUGGCAGAUGGUCGAACAAAGAGUCCCUGUUGCACAUCAACUGCCUAGAGCUAUUAGCAGCGUCCUUUGCCAUUCGCAGUAUGGCCCCCAUAGGCAUUUCAUGCUCUAUAUUAAUCAAGAUGGACAACAUCUCAGCGGUACGUUAUAUCAACCAUCUAGAGGGGACGAAAUCGAAGGUUCUCGCAUUGAUGGCUCGAGAUUUUUGGCACAUUGCCUGAAAUACAGCAUUUCUGUAAUAGCAGAAUACAUUCCGGGGCAGGACAAUACAAUGGCGGACUGGAAUUCCCGAUACCUUCGGGACGCAGGGGAUUGGCAUCUCCACCCAAUGAUUUUCCAGCGCCUCUCUCGACUCUGGGGACCUUUCAAUAUAGACCUCUUCGCGUCUUGACUGAACACCCAGCUCCCUCGGUUCUUCAGUUGAAGACCGGAUCCAGAUGCUCUGGCAACAGAUGCAUUCCUACGGGACUGGACCAAGGGCAGGAACUACGCUUUUCCCCCGUUCAACCUCAUUUCUCGGACCCUAGCGGCCCUUCGAUAUUCCAAGGGGACGCUGGCACUGAUAACCCCGUUAUGGAGGUCACAACCUUGGUUUCCUCAAUUAUUGGAAAUGUCAAUAGAUUUCCCACAGCUGUUGCCGGACAUUCCCUACCUCUUAACCAACCCAGAGGGAAUGAGUCACGAUCUGGCCAACCAAGGCCUAUUGCAACUGAUGGCAUGGCUCAUUUCAGGAGAUCAUGGAACCUCGAGGAGGUUUCGCAGACGACACUCAGUCUCUUGGCAGAGUCGUGGGCACCUGGUACCAGACGUGCCUACGGAUCGGCUUGGAGAAAAUGGUCUGAUUGGUGCGUGGGACGGUCAAUGGAUCCCAUAUCAGCUUCUACAGAAGCAAUCCUACAAUUUCUGACUCUACUCUUUGAGGAAGGAAAAGCCUUUCGUACUAUAAAUAUGUACAGAUCGGCUAUAUCAGCGAGACAUAUGGGGUUGGAUGGCACCCCAUUAGGUAAACAUGCCCUUAUCUGUCGUUUACUCAAAGGCAUCCGUCUUACUCGACCUCCUCAAACUCGAUAUUCUUCCUUUUGGGAUGUCAAUGUGAUGUUGCGUUCUAUCGAAUCUUGGCCAAUGAACCAGGAACUUUCACUGAAGCAAUUGUCGACCAAACUGUUGAUGCUGUUUUGUUUACUUUCAUGUAAACGGGUCGCUGAUGUCAGGGCACUAGACUGGCAUGCACGUGUUUUUGUCCCAAACGGAGUAUCCUUUAAUAUUUCACGUAGAACAAAAUCCUCGACUAAGGAAGUUUUCUACCCAUCAUGGCCGGACAACCCAAAUUUGUGUCCUAUGCUAUGUCUGAAGGAAUACGAGCAUCGCACGGCAUCACUCCGUCCAGAACAAACCCAUCCACUGUUCAUCUCAUUCAAAAGACCUCACCUACCAGUAUCUACUGCUACUUUAGCUCGUUGGAUCAAAUGGUUGCUGUCGAUGGCAGGCAUAGAAACCUCAAUUUUUUCCUCACAUUCCGUUCGCGGAGCUAUGGCCUCUAAAGCUUCCGUGAUAGGUUGUAAAUUGGAGGAUAUACUACGGACAGCCGACUGGUCGAAUGAGUCUACAUUUCGUAAUUUCUAUUUCCGCCCAGUGCAACACAUUUCCAGUUCAGUGGUUGCUCAGCUUUAAAAUAGCAUAAUAGGAGCCUCUGUGUCUUUUUUCUAUGAUUCUCUUAUAAUUCCCUUUUCUGGCUGCUGGGAGUGUAAUAAAGAAAGAGAAUGCAUAAUACUCACCUCCGUGUCAUUAAUAAAAUCAUGACUUUACGUCAUGUUAAUAGUAAAAUCUGGUAAUUACAUAUUGAAAUAAAACGAUCAGUACAAUAGAAAAAAAAAUAGAUGUGUCCAGGUGUGUGCAUGUAUCAGUGUGUUUAUGUGUGUAUCUGUGUGUCAAUGUGUUAGUAUGUAUGUGCAUACAUCCAGGCGAUCAAACACACCGCUGCAAACCCAAUCAUUACAUACAAACACACCCCUGAAUACAAACUCCAAAAUUGUAUACAAACACACCCUUCACUCACCAAUACUACACACAAAUGUACAUCUGCAUUUAAAAGACACUACAUCUAAACACUCCCCUGCAUGCAAUUACAAAUGUUACAUACAAAUACACCCCUUUAUUAAAACACUUAAAUUAUAUACACCAACACCAACUUAAUACACAGAAGCCCAACUGCAUGUAACAUCCAACACUACAUACAAACACACAUCCACCCCUGCAUUCAAAUGCAAACACUACACACAAGUACACAGCUGCAUUCCAAUGGUAACAUUACAUCUACACCUCUACAUGCACACAUAUACUCUAUACAAAAACAUGCUUACAUUCAAAUUCACAAACACUGCUCACAAAUACAACCCUACAAGAAUGGCAAAAUGAUAGAUCCCCAGCUGGCAUAGCAUCGCGGAAGUUGUAAGACAGAUGGGUAUCUAUCUUUUCUCCACUCUUGCGCUAUAGGGGAGACCCAAAAAAAAUUCUUACACCACAGCCCUCUCUACAUUAGUUCCAUCAGUAGGUUGUGGUGAAGGCCGCAACUGCAUGCCUGGGAGCUAGGAGUGGGGGGAGGGGAGGGGAGGGCAGGGUACAGGGGCCCAAGCAAAUGCUUGCUCAGGGUCCAAUUGAUAUUAAAGACGGCCAUGCCCUUCUUUGGACGAGGUGGAGCGCCAACCAAUCGUUGUUCUCCCUUGGAAUUGGGUGAGUAAAUAAAAGAUUUUUAUCCCUUUACAUGCUGAGGUAAAGGGGCACGAGGGGGGGACAGAGGGCUCUAUAAUGUUAAGUAUACAGCUUUGUAUUCCUAACACUAUAGAAUCUAUAGGGUUUAGCAGCUGAGGUACAGGUGGUGACAGUCCUCACUCAAGCUACAGAACAGGAGGUGAGAGAUUCACGCCAAGACCUAAACGCACUGAAAGACACAGUCACCCAGAUGCAAGCCAUACAUUCCAAUAUUACCAGGCAAGUUAACCUGCUAGAUGACAGGGGCAGGAGGAAAAAUGUCAAGAUCAGGGGGUAUCAGAAGCAGUACCACUGGAGGAACUCCCCCACUUUAUAAGGCGCUUAGUGACCUCGCUCCUACCCAACAGGCAAACAAAACAUUUCACGUUUGAUGGCGUAUAUCGCAUCGCCAAAUCCUUGCGAGCACCAAAGACAGCUCCACGCGACCUCAUCUUGCAAUGCCAAACUCUUACGGAUAAAAUAGCCCUAAUGGCAGCCAUUAAAGGGAAAACACUCCACAACUUCGAAACGCACCAAAUCACCUUUUUCCAAGACCUGAGCAGAUUAUGGCGCAAGAGCAUGCAGCCCAUAACCACUACCCUACAAAUGGCAGGUUCCACACACAGAUGGGCAACCCCCACAACGCUCUGGGUGACCAAGGACGAUCAAUCCUACAAAAUCUCUAUCCUGGGAGAAGGUCCUGCCUUAUUAGCCACGCUGGGACUAUCCAACAGCAACACAGGGCUACCCACUACGCACCCUGGGCCCACAACCUCAGCCGAUCACACAACCAAUAUUUUGUUACUGUUUAUGUUGCUCUUAUCUCCUUAUAUUUCUGAUUUAUAGUUUGACACCCUAAGAACGCACAACACUCCCCUCACUGACGCCGAAGCACUGCCCAUCCACUUGUAGACCCACCGCAGUCUACGCUGACUGGGCAAAACCAGCUGGCUCUGGGGUGCAACACCUCCACCCCUCCAAUACCCUAGAGGGAUGGAGGAAAGCCGGGAAGGGAGUGGCGAGAGUACCCCCAACCGACAAGUACCCAAUAAAACUACCCGAAGAGGACAAACACUCUCCCUUUCCCACAAUCCUAGCAGGCGCCGCAUAGACCAUCACCACACUAGUGACACAUUUGCCUAGCAAAGAUCAAAAAACUAUCUCAUCGACACACAGCAUGGCUGAACAUAGUCCCCACAAAACAAGAGGGCAACCAACCCGCUCGUAACAUAGGCCUAUACCACCCAGGGUAACCCCAUCAGGCGGUACCAUACCCGCAACUUAUCUAUACCACUAGAAGCCCCGCCCUCUGUCCACCUAUGACGAGCCCACUUUACCAUUCCAAACACAUAGAGCCGAACAGAUCCCUAUGAUCAACUAGACCACUUCAAAAAGUGCAAACCAUCCCUAGGCCGGACAUGUCCCACACCUAUUGACUAUCGGCCUAUAUGUUAUAUGGCGUUAUGGAAAUGUUAUGACUAAUUAUUAUGUACUGAAAACAAAAUAAAGAAUUAAAAAAAAUAAUAAUUCUUCCACAGGAGCACUGAAAAGCUUAUUUCUUCCAAAUGGAAGUUCACAUAAGGCAGUCUUGGAGGCAGUGUCUGAUGACCACGAC